rnacentral:rRNA from 1 species
AAAGAAAUCAGUUCAGCACUAAGUCACUUUGUCUUUAUGGCAAAUGUGAGAUGCAGUGUAUGGAAUGUUCAAUUUCUAGUAUGAGAAAUUAACGAUUUAAGUCCUUCUUAAAUGAGGCCAUUUACCCAUAGAGGGUGCCAGGCCCGUAUAACGUUAAUGAUUACUAGAGAACAUUUCCAAAGAGUCGUGUUGCUUGAUAGUGCAGCACUAAGUGGGUGGUAAACUCCAUCUAAAACUAAAUAUAACCAUGAGACCGAUAGUAAACAAGUACCGUGAGGGAAAGUUGAAAAGAACUCUGAAUAGAGAGUUAAAUAGUACGUGAAACUGCUUAGAGGUUAAGCCCGAUGAACCUGAAUAUCCAUUAUGGAAAAUUCAUCGUUACGAUUGUAAUAAUUUCAUUAUUAUAAGAAUAGCGUGCAUUUUUUCCAUAUAAGGACAUUGUAAUCUAUUAACAUACCCAAUUUAUCAUAAGAUCAAUGGCUUAAGUUUAUUCAAAUUAUUUUGCUUGCAUUUUAACAUAGAAUAAAUGCUGUUGAUUUGAUAAAGUGUUGAUAGUUUUAUUUGUAUAUAGUGCUUGAAUAUUUAUAUUCUAUAAUGGCAUAUUGAUCAUUGAUCUUUGUGUUUAUUAUAUGCGCUUAUAUGAUUAACAAUGCGAAAGAUUCAGGAUACCUUCGGGACCCGUCUUGAAACACGGACCAAGGAGUCUAACAUAUUUGCAAGUUAUUGGGAAUUAAAAAACCUAAUAGCGAAAUUAACAUAACUUAUAUAAUGGGAUUAGUUUUUAGUGCUAUUUAUAGUCUAUUAAUUCAAUCCCGGGGCGUUCAUCAGUUAUACAUAAUAAUAUUUAUAUUAUUUAUGCCUCUAACUAGAGCGUACCUUGAGCAUAUAUGCUGUGACCCGAAAGAUGGUGAACUAUACUUGAUCAGGUUGAAGUCAGGGGAAACCCUG